rnacentral:rRNA from 1 species
AACGAACGCUGGCGGCAGGCCUAACACAUGCAAGUCGAGCGCUUCCUUCGGGAAGAGCGGCGGACGGGUUAGUAACGCGUGGGAACGUGCCUCUCUCUACGGAAUAGCCAUUGGAAACGAUGAAUAAUACCGUAUACGCCCUUUUGGGGAAAGAUUUAUCGGAGAGAGAUCGGCCCGCGUUAGAUUAGAUAGUUGGUGGGGUAACGGCCUACCAAGUCUACGAUCUAUAGCUGGUUUGAGAGGAUGAUCAGCAACACUGGGACUGAGACACGGCCCAG